rnacentral:rRNA from 1 species
UUCCUACGGGGGGCAGCAGUGGGGAAUCUUCCGCAAUGGGCGCAAGCCUGACGGAGCAAUGCCGCGUGAACGAAGAAGGUCUUCGGAUUGUAAAGUUCUGUCCUUAUCGAAGAGAGGGUAUAGAGUGAAAAAUGAUAUACUAGGACGGUAGAUGAGGAGGAAGCCCCGGCUAACUACGUGCCAGCAGCCGCGGUAAUACGUAGGGGGCGAGCGUUGUCCGGAAUCACUGGGCGUAAAGGGCGCGUAGGCGGUAAUAUAAGUCAGAUGUGAAAGGCGGGGGAUCAACCCCCGGACUGCUCUGGAAA